rnacentral:rRNA from 1 species
AUGAUGAAGGAGCUCACCGAGCUGCUCGGGACGGCCGCCGUUAGCGACGUGUUCCCGCGGCUCCAGUGGGUGGACUGGGCGACGGGACUCGACGCAAGGAUAAGUCGGACAGCGGCUGAGCUCGACAGUGUCAUCGAGAAGACGCUCACGGAGCACGAGGGGAGCCGAGCAAACGACGGUGAGGUUCAUGACCUCCUGGACGGCUUGCUCUCGAUCGUCAAGGAUGGUGAUCAGGGGUUUAGGAUGGACCGGAUUGAUGUCAAGGCGCUCAUCUUGGACAUGUUCAUAGGAGGCACGGACACGAUCUAUAAGGCGAUAGAAUGGACCAUGGCCGAGCUUGUUAAGAAUCCAAGAGAAAUGGAAAAGGUGCAAGCAGAGGUGAGACAAGUUGCUGCCGGUACGCAGGGAGGAGUCCUUGAGGAGGAGCUGGAGAAGAUGAGCCUCCUCCACGCUGCCAUGAAAGAGGCACUACGGCUACAUCCGCCCAUACCCCUCUUCCCGCACGAGUCGAUUCAGAACACCCGGCUGCACGGCUACGACAUCCCAGCCAAGACCCGGAUCAUGAUCAACGCAUGGACGAUCGGAAGGGACAGCGAGUCGUGGGAGGAGGCCGAUGAGUUCCGGCCAGAGAGGUUCAUGGACAGGGCCAUGGACUACAGCGGCAAGGACCCCCGGUUCAUACCGUUCGGCGCGGGGAGGAGGGGAUGCCCUGGUAUCGCCUUUGCGUUGCGGCUGGCGGAGCUCACACUGGCGAACAUGAUGUACCAUUUUGAUUGGGUGCUCCCGGAUGGCCAGGACCCGGAGUCAUUUGAGGUUGUCGAGUCCAACGGCUUCGCGCCUGCGCUGAAGUGCCCUUUGAUCCUUGUCGCAAAACCUUUAUAA